rnacentral:rRNA from 1 species
GAUGAACGCUGGCGGCGUGCCUAAUACAUGCAAGUCGAGCGAACAGAUGAGGAGCUUGCUCCUCUGACGUUAGCGGCGGACGGGUGAGUAACACGUGGAUAACCUACCUAUAAGACUGGGAUAACUUCGGGAAACCGGAGCUAAUACCGGAAAAUAUAUUGAACCGCAUGGUUCAAUAGUGAAAGACGGUUUUGCUGUCACUUAUAGAUGGAUCCGCGCCGCAUUAGCUAGUUGGUAAGGUAACGGCUUACCAAGGCAACGAUGCGUAGCCGACCUGAGAGGGUGAUCGGCCACACUGGAACUGAGACACGGUCCAGACUCCUACGGGAGGCAGCAGUAGGGAAUCUUCCGCAAUGGGCGAAAGCUUGACGGAGCAACGCCGCGUGAGUGAUGAAGGUCUUCGGAUCGUAAAACUCUGUUAUUAGGGAAGAACAAAUGUGUAAGUAACUAUGCACGUCUUGACGGUACCUAAUCAGAAAGCCACGGCUAACUACGUG